rnacentral:rRNA from 1 species
UACGUAGGGUGCAAGCGUUGUCCGGAAUUAUUGGGCGUAAAGGGCUCGUAGGCGGUUUGUCGCGUCGGGAGUGAAAACUCAGGGCUUAACCCUGAGCCUGCUUCCGAUACGGGCAGACUAGAGGUAUGCAGGGGAGAACGGAAUUCCUGGUGUAGCGGUGAAAUGCGCAGAUAUCAGGAGGAACACCGGUGGCGAAGGCGGUUCUCUGGGCAUUACCUGACGCUGAGGAGCGAAAGUGUGGGGAGCGAACAGG